AAUCAAGUUUUCAGUUUCGUUUACUCUCAACUGUUUCUUUCUUCUUCUUCCUUCCUUCCGCUUUCAAGAUUUGUUAUCCAUGAUAAAAAAAAAAUCAAUUCUGUUGAUGGUUAAUCAUAGUUUCCUCCUGCUUUCCAUGGUUUCAUAUCCCUGCUGAAAUUGAUGUGUAGAUUGUCAUGAGAUUUUUUUUUAAUUCGAUGCAAAAGGGAGGUGUUACACUGUUACUGUUAUUAUUUUGCCCUGUUUUCAUUUAUCACUUUGUUGUCCUUUCUUUACUGAUUUCAUUGUUCUCAAUUCGUUCUGGAAAAUUCUUGAAGCUCUUAUGUAAGUUUUCUUAUGAUUGGGACUAAUAUCAUAAGCUAGUGCUACAAGAUAGAAUCUAAAAUCAUUUCGAAUCUUAUAUAUAUAGCUUUCUAUUACACCUGAUGAAGCUAUAUGAUUUUAGGAACUUACAUUGGAUAUCUAAUAUCACCUUUGGUGGAUGAUAGCACUAGAUGACAGAAUUGAAUUUAAUAGAAUUAGGAACCAAUUUAAGAAUCACUCUUUUACUAUCUAAUAUACCAUGGAGUAAAAAGAAACAUUACAUGGCAGCAGAAGAUGCAUUAUAUGAUGUGGUAAUACAUGUGAUAAUUUGAAUCAACCUAUUAGGAAAACAAGAAGUCGUACAAACUGCAAUAGAGAUUUAUAACAGGGUAGAUGUUUGUCCUUCUUUUUCCAGAUUAUAGUCUAUUUAACUAUGCCUCCUUCUUGUGUUUAUUUUUUUAAAUAUUAUUCAACUCAUUGUCAGAUACACACCUGGACUGGGUGAGCCCCUAGAGGGGCAACGCCCAGCAUGUAUCCCGCCCUGAGGCGGGGCCCUGGCCUUCAGAUGGGCCUUGACCUCGGAGGCCCAAUUGGCCCAAUAGGUAGUACCCAAGCUCUAUAAAUAGGAGGUAGUUAUCAAGUGUAGGGGACUUUUGGCUCAUUUGAUGAAAUAACACUCGAAAUUCAGCACUCUCUCUCUCAUUCUGAUUCUCUCUUAGCACAAUCCCUCCACCUCUAGGUACUAUACCUCUCUUCAAUGUUCAUUCCCAGAACAACACCUAUCUAAUAGAAAAUUAGUUAGAACAUCUAUAUCUAUAUAUAUAUUAAAGCAGUAACAUUCCAAGCAUGCCAUUAUCAAAAACCUCAGCUCCUGAAUAUUUUACAAUAUUUUAUUCCCUUCCAUUUGCACCACAACUCGACACGUGUCUCAUUAGGAUUAUUAUAUUCAGAUUUAUUCCUCCAUCCUUCAUUCUCCCUCUUCUCCCACUAUCUCCAUUUAUUUUAUCUCCCCCAUUAUCUCGGUCUCAUCAUAGAAUUAUAGGAUUUAAUGAUGGUCAAAUUUCUAUGUGCAAUUAACAUUAAUUUCCAUUCCUUUUUGAAUUAUUAUAUUCAAAUUUAUUUCAUUGGCCAAUCGAGUGGCUUCCGUUACUCUUUCAAUUCCAUCAUAUUCAAAGCCUGCAUCCUCUCUCCAUUUUCCUUGCUCCAGAACCUUCUCUUCCCAGAGCCCGUUAGUUUGGGGUCGGUAGGGUGUCAAGGUUUCUGUGAGGGCUUCGGCUGGCGUCAAUUUCAUUUCUGUAGCAGCUGCCUUGCUCUCCCCUUGAUUGGGACACAGAGAUGAUGGUACCAUAGACGUCUUACUGGUAACUAGAACCUUCGUUUGCACACCACGACACCCUCCUUCCUCUGUCUUGGUCUCUGGAUAGGUUGUAAAGAGAGUUUCACCACCAUUUCUUUCCAUCUGCGACUACAAGAUCAAGCGCAAAGUUGUUCAUCAGAAGGUGGCUAUCAUAGAUUUGCAGGUUUAUAUGGAUAUGAGUCCGGCAACAGAUUAAUUUCCUACCUCCAUGACAUAAUUUUUUUUAGUUGGAAUCUUUUGGUGGCAUUUUAGAUACAUAGGUGGUUUCAAGUUAUAGAUGGUUUAACCCCUGAUUCAUCAACAUAUUAUGAAAAGGUCUGCAAGCAACAUUAUCUUCUACAAUGGUUUAAGAGACCCUUGGAGAGGUGGAGGAUGUUGAAGAAUAUGUCAAAAACUUUAGUCGCUAUAGUUGCAAAAGAAGAGAUUCAUCAUACAAAUCUAAGGUACUCAACUAAGGAAGAUCCAAAGUGACUCAAAGAUGCAAGGAAAAAAAGGUCCAAAUCAUAGCAAGUUGGAUCUCACAGUACUAUCAAGAUUGACAUUCCUAUAAUAAGAUGCAUUGGUAUUAAAGGAAAUGCAGAAUGGUUGGUAGAAGUCAUGUAGUGUCUACCAUUCCUGUUGUGAAAACCCAUGAAGGUACUACAAACAAGUUAUUAUCCAUUGAGUGGUUGGAAGGAAAGGAUCAUUUUUCAAGAAUUUCAAGAGCAGGCAUUGAAGGGAUACAGUCACGGGUAAAUUUCAAGAAUUUCAUCUUAUUAAUCAAUCAAUACAUAUAUUAAAAGAGCAAGGGUUAUGAGAACCCAAUGCUGAGGUGUCAUCACCUGGUGCAUUUUGCUCACAUUCAAUCUCAGAGUUAGUGGAAUCCACGUAUAUUAGAAACUAAGUGAGGACUAUUGACCUUAAUUUACCAUGUUUUUGGCUUCAUUUGGUUCUCUUGAACAGUUUAUCUUGAAAAUUAAGUGAGGUUCCAGGCUAAUGUCUUUUUUUUUUUUCUUUUUUACUUCUAUUCUACCAAGGAUCAUUUGGAAUAAUUCUUUUAUUAUCCCCUCUUUGUGAUUGAAGAAAGAUCUAGGUGCAGUUUAUUGUUAUUGAAAUUUCUAAUCUGCAUUGUAGGAUUUCCUUUAGAUUGAUCAUCUACAAGAAGUUAGCUGUUAAUUUUCUUCUCUGCUGCAUUCAGAUUUUGUUAUUGAAAUCUGAAUAUGUAUUGCAAUAUUUCCUUUGGAUUGAUCAUGUGCAAGAAGUAAGUUGUUCAAUUGAUUACACUAAUCUUGAUUUUUUCUGUGGCUUUGAAUGCAGAGACUGCGGGAGCAGUUCUAUUUGGAUAAGUGAAAACUUAGUUUAGAUGGCAUUGUUUUUUUUAAAUGUGUUGCCAUUCAAAAUCAUAGUUAACUGAUAUAGCUUUCAAUUUGGGUCUUAUCUUGAGGAGUUUUCUGGGUCAUGCCUUCUUUUCUAAUGCCCUAUAUCUGCGGGAGAUAUUGUCUUGAAAAAUGAGUUCAAUACAUGUGUUUUUAAUUUGAAGAAUGAGUUUAUAUUGUUUUAGUUGUUUUGUUGUUUAGCUGUUCAUGUAUGUGUUAGAGUGGUGUCCCUAAUAUAUGCCCACGCAAUGUCUUCAUUGUGCAUCCUACCUUCAUAAAGUCUCUAUAUUGUUUAGUUAUGGACUCCCAAUAAAAUAGCAUGAAUUCAAAGCUUAAUAUUGCUUUUUUCUCUCUUUGGUCCCUAUAUUUUAAUUCUACACCCUGUUUGUUUCUAAUUUUAAAGAGAUGAUUCCUGAUCUUUUGCUGAGAAAUUCUCUGUUAGUACCAACAAGUUUAAUUGUGCAGGACAACAAAGAGAAAAUAAUGGAUUCAUUCACCAGAAUCAAUCCUUCUACAUGGAGCUUUCACUAAGACUUUCACCAUAAGCUUCACAAAUAGAGUUCAUGUUUAUUUUUCUGCUUUGUUUUGUUUCUGUUAAAAUGGUGAUAUGUGAUUUCAAUUUUUUCUUUACCUUUUGUUCAGCAUCAAAGAUAUUUGGCUGUUGGAGAAGACUUCCAUUGUCAAUCUACAUUGUGAAGAUUUAGCAUCUAAAUAAUAUACCGAAAAAUCUACUUCAAGCAAUGGCAAUGAGGAUGUCCAUGUCUACUUUUACCUUCAUGUUCUUCUUAUUAUUAUUUUAGACAACAUUUGAAACAGAAACUGGGUGAUGUUUUUAGGUGCAAUAUCAUGGGCCAGUUCCCCUCACAAUAAUUUUAUGUUUGCGCAGAAAAAUUACUAUCCUUUUAUUUUGUUAUUUAAGUAAUUUAGUAUGGAAA